GCGAGGCUGGGCAGGAUGAGGAGGAGUGCGCUCCGGACCGGCCUGGGGCUUCCCGCGCUCCCAGCACGGCCCGGGCAGAUAAUUCAACUAACCACAAAUCUAGGAAAACUGUGUUGUCUGGGACUCAAGGCCCCUUGUGGGUGACAGCUGUUUUUGUGCUCCUGAGUGUACUGGUAGCUGCAGGCUGCACUGUUACCAGGAGGCAAUUCAGAGCAAAGAACAGCUUCUUCACCUUUAGCUUUGAGAGAGCUUCCAAAGAGCAUCUGGUGCUAGACAGGAGACCUUCUGCGUCAUUUCCCUAAUAGGAAGCUGCAUUGUUGUGAGAUGAGACACAGCUUGGUCCUCCUCAUCACACACCCUCCAAGUGCCGAUCAAGCAGUUUCUGGGACUAGUUUUCUGGGUUUGAUUGGGUGACAAUCACAAUGGAGUAAUCAAGGACUCUUCCUUGGGCACAGGGAGCUUAGAUUGUGGCAGUGGGGAGUCAGAAGUGAUGGUCUCUGGUGCUCUAAAAUCAAUUCUACGGGAAUGUGAUGGAAACUUGAAAUGUCACAUUGGUUCACCCAUUCCCAUCCUCCCUCCCUCGGGGUUAUUCUACAAGAUGCCUCGUCCUGAAAGAAAGGUUCUAAAGCUAUUCCAGUGAAUAGUGCACAUCUCUGCAGAUGAAUAGUGUAUCAUCUCUGCAGUACAUCCGGGCAGCUCUCCCUUUCCCACAUCUACCUAAGAGUUCAUCGCAAACUACCUCUUCCUACCAGGCUGUAUCUUACCUGUUAACAUAAUUAUUUACUACUGUUCCAAGGCAGGCCAUUCCAUUCUACACACCUGGGGGGGUAUAAUAUAACUUCAGUCCCUGAUGAUACUGCUCCUCCUCCUAACUCAUUGGCUCGGACUUACCAAAAAUUCUUAAAAUGUAAUUGAUGCACAAGACCCAUCAAGGAGCUGGAAAAUUGAAGUCUCCUGUAUGGUUGUCUUUGCAUUGGGUCACAGGCUGUAUAGCAUAGGGCAGGCAGGAGAGGAGUGCCUUCAAAUCCCAAGGUAGGAGGUAUGCUCAGCUCUUUCCAGGAUUGGGCUCAGAGUUUCCAAUUUGAUACUAAAAUUCUGGAUGUUGAAUCCUCGGUGCAGUUAUUUUAACACCUGGAGCUGGCUUACCUCUUUUGCUUUUAGCUGCGAGUAGCUUUGGUCUCAAAGGUCAGCUGUUAGCUCCAUUUCAGAUCUUGGUCUGUAUAACAUUUUGUCAUGAACGCUUAUU